rnacentral:rRNA from 1 species
CUAGAGAUUAAAGGGAUGGAAGAAAAAACUCUAUCAAUGCAAGGUAAAGAGAUAUUAUUUAAAUCCAUAGCCCAAGCAAUACCUUCAUAUGCAAUGUCUGUUUUCAAGUUACCAAAAAAUAUUUGCAAGGUAAUUACAUAUGAGAUUGCUGGUUUUUGGUGGGGUGAUAGCCAAGACGAGAAGAAAAUGCAUUGGUUCGCAUGGUGGAUGUUGUGUGUGCUGAAGAAGAAAGGGGAAAUGGGGUCUAGGGACCUUCACAGUUUUAAUCUUGCUAUGUUAGCAAAACAGUGUUGGCGACCUCUCCAGAAUCCAAACUCUUUGUGCGCGCAAGUUCUUAGUGCUAAGUAUUACCCUGAUGGUAAUUUACUGAAGGCUGGACUGAAGAAGGGAUAUCGUGGCUGGCAUUCAAACUUUCUAGGGGGUUGCAUUUGGAGGGUUGGCUGGGGGUCCAAAAUAAACAUUUUAAGGUUCUAA